GACGAACGCUGGCGGCGUGCUUAACACAUGCAAGUCGAACGGAAAGGCCCUGCUUUUGUGGGGUGCUCGAGUGGCGAACGGGUGAGUAACACGUGAGUAACCUGCCCUUGACUUUGGGAUAACUUCAGGAAACUGGGGCUAAUACCGGAUAGGAGCUCCUGCUGCAUGGUGGGGGUUGGAAAGUUUCGGCGGUUGGGGAUGGACUCGCGGCUUAUCGGCUUGUUGGUGGGGUAGUGGCUUACCAUGGUUUUGACGGGUAGCCGGCCUGAGAGGGUGACCGGCCACAUUGGGACUGAGAUACGGCCCAGACUCCUACGGGAGGCAGCAGUGGGGAAUAUUGCACAAUGGGCGGAAGCCUGAUGCAGCAACGCCGCGUGCGGGAUGACGGCCUUCGGGUUGUAAACCGCUUUCGCCUGUGACGAAGCGUGAGUGACGGUAAUGGGUAAAGAAGCACCGGCUAACUACGUG
rnacentral:rRNA from 1 species